GACGAACGCUGGCGGCGUGCUUAACACAUGCAAGUCGAACGGAAAGGCCCCCUUGUGGGGUACUCGAGUGGCGAACGGGUGAGUAACACGUGAGUAACCUACCCUUGACUUUGGGAUAACUUCAGGAAACUGGGGCUAAUACCGGAUAGGAGCUCCUGCUGCAUGGUGGGGGUUGGAAAGUUUCGGCGGUUGGGGAUGGACUCGCGGCUUAUCAGCUUGUUGGUGGGGUAGUGGCUCACCAAGGCUUUGACGGGUAGCCGGCCUGAGAGGGUGACCGGCCACAUUGGGACUGAGAUACGGCCCAGACUCCUACGGGAGGCAGAAGUGGGGAAUAUUGCACAAUGGGCGGAAGCCUGAUGCAGCAACGCCGCGUGCAGGAUGACGGCCUUCGGGUUGUAAACCGCUUUCGCCUGUGACGAAGCGUGAGUGACGGUAAUGGGUAAAGAAGCACCGGCUAACUACGUG
rnacentral:rRNA from 1 species